rnacentral:rRNA from 1 species
AUUCCAGCUCCAAUAGCGUAUAUUAAAGUUGUUGCAGUUAAAAAGCUCGUAGUCGGAUUUCGGGUCGGGCCGAGCGGUCUGCCGAUGGGUAUGCACUGUUCGGCGCGGCCUUCUUUCCGGAGACCGCGGCUACUCUUAACUGAGCGGGCGUGGGAGACGGAUCGUUUACUUUGAAAAAAUCAGAGUGUUUCAAGCAGGCAGCUCGCUCUUGCAUGGAUUAGCAUGGGAUAAUGAAAUAGGACUCUGGUGCUAUUUUGUUGGUUUCGAACACCGGAGUAAUGAUUAACAGGGACAGUCAGGGGCACUCGUAUUCCGUCGAGAGAGGUGAAAUUCUCAGACCAAUGGAAGACGAACCACUGCGAAAGCAUUUGCCAGGGAUGUUUUCAUCA